GCGGACGUGGCCAAGUGGAUUAAGGCAGUGGUUUGUGGAGCCACUAUGCGCGGGUUCAAUUCCGGUUCGUUCA
rnacentral:tRNA from 2 species